CCUACGGGAGGCAGCAGUGAGGAAUAUUGGUCAAUGGACGAGAGUCUGAACCAGCCAAGUAGCGUGAAGGAUGACUGCCCUAUGGGUUGUAAACUUCUUUUAUAAAGGAAUAAAACGAGGCACGUGUGCCUUUUUGCAUGUACUUUAUGAAUAAGGAUCGGCUAACUCCGUGCCAGCAGCCGCGGUAAUACGGAGGAUCCGAGCGUUAUCCGGAUUUAUUGGGUUUAAAGGGAGCGUAGAUGGGUUGUUAAGUCAGGUGUGAAAGUUUGCGGCUCAACCGUAAAAUUGCAAUUGAUACUGGCAGUCUUGAGUACAGUUGAGGUAGGCGGAAUUCGUGGUGUAGCGGUGAAAUGCUUAGAUAUCACGAAGAACCCCGAUUGCGAAGGCAGCUUACUAAACUGUGACUGACAUUGAUGCUCGAAAGUGUGGGUAUCGAACAGGAUUAGAUACCCUGGUAGUC
rnacentral:rRNA from 1 species